rnacentral:rRNA from 1 species
UACGGAGGGUGCGAGCGUUGUUCGGAAUCACUGGGCGUAAAGCGCGUGUAGGCGGCCCACUAAGUCUGAUGUAAAAGCCCGGGGCUCACCCCCGGAAGUGCAUUGGAAACUGGUGGACUCGAGUCCCGGAGAGGAGAGUGGAAUUCCUGGUGUAGCGGUGAAAUGCGUAGAUAUCAGGAGGAACACCGGUGGCGAAGGCGGCUCUCUGGACGGUGACUGACGCUGAGACGCGAAAGCGUGGGGAGCAAACAGG